rnacentral:rRNA from 1 species
CCUACGGGGGGCAGCAGUGAGGAAUAUUGGUCAAUGGGCGCGAGCCUGAACCAGCCAAGUAGCGUGAAGGAUGACUGCCCUACGGGUUGUAAACUUCUUUUAUAAAGGAAUAAAGUGAGGCACGUGUGCCUUUUUGUAUGUACUUUAUGAAUAAGGAUCGGCUAACUCCGUGCCAGCAGCCGCGGUAAUACGGAGGAUCCGAGCGUUAUCCGGAUUUAUUGGGUUUAAAGGGAGCGUAGAAGGGUUGUUAAGUCAGUUGUGAAAGUUUGCGGCUCAACCGGAAAAUUGCAUUUGAUACUGGCAGCCUUGUGUCCCGUUGAGGUCGGCGGAAUUCGUGGUGUAGCGGU